rnacentral:lncRNA from 1 species
AGCAGGAAAGGCAGGGGAGGCAGCGGCGGGAAGCCUUCCUUAGCUGUGUGAUCCUAGGUGGCUGUUAACUUAGCAUUUGAGGACUGUCUCAGAUAGACAAAAUUGGACCAGGUUUUGUACCAUAGGAAAAAGGCUUUACCCACUCAAAUAUCCACUGUUUUCAGCAGACAGAGUCCUAAGUGGAUGCCUGAUUGGCUGAUCCUGGGACACAUGCCUGCUCGCUGGAUGUACUGAGGCCAUGAGAAGAAGGAUCUGGCAAAACAAACCUCAGGGACCUCAGCAAGAAGGCAGAGGACCUGGACUAACCAUGGCAUCCAAACUGAACACAAUUUUAGAGAUAAUUCCCACAGAAGAGACAGGAUUUCUAGAAAAUGGAAGUAGCCCACUCUUGGAAAAGAAUGGGCAUUUACUGAGAUGCAACUAUAAGCUGGUGAAAUAUAGUUUUGUUUAAAAUCAUUUAAUUUUAUUCCACAUCAUUUUCCUUUGAAGAUAUUUGAAUUGCCAGGGACAUUAAUACUAUCAAGGAGCUUUGCUGUUUCACCCAAAUAUGAGAUGUCCACUUUGGGAUUAGAUCCCUGCCUCAUUCAAAUUUCCUUUUCCCUUAGUCUUUUCUUGAGUUAUAGACAUUUGUUCAUUUUUUUCAACUUAUUCAACAAGUAUUUAUUGAACAACUACUAGGUGCCAUAUACUGUUUUUGGUUUGGUAUGGAAAGCCUGUAGGAAUCUCUGUUGUAAUUUUGGGAAUUUGCCCAACCUGCUCUUUAGGUGGUGCUAUGAACUGACUUGUGUGCUCCCAAAAUUUAUCUGUUGAAGCUCUAAGCUCCAAUGUGAUGAUAUUUGGAGAUGGGACCUUUGGGAAUUAAUUAAGGUUAGAUGAGGUCAUGAGGAUGGGGCCCUUAUGAGGGGAUUAGUGCCCUUAUAAGAAAACACACCAGAGUGCCUGCUUGCUCUCUCUCUCUCUCUGCCAUGUGAAGACACAGUAUGAAGGCAGCUUAUUGCAAGCCUAAGAAAGAACGCUUGCCAGAAUUGGACUUCUGGUCUCCAGAACCAUGAAAACAUAAACUUCUGUUGUUUAAGCCACCCAGUCUAUGGAAUUUUGUUCUGGAAGCCCAAGCUGACUAAUAUGGUUGGAGUCCAGUGCUUUGCCUGAAGAAGGUACAUCUCUAAAACUAAACAUUUUGCUCAUUGAAGCUUGAUCUGAAAUAAUUAAGACUUUGGUCUUGAAAAUCUUAGACAGAAUCCAUUCAGUGACUACCUUUAUUCUGAAUUGGCAGGCAGUUGUUCUGAUAGAUCUGAGAAGAUUCUUUUGACAACAAUUUCUCCAACUUCAGAUAUGUUGAAAAACAAAAUAAAUAUGUUAAUAAUUAACAUGAUGUAAUGAACUUCAGUAGUAAAUUAAGACUAGAACAGAUAAGGGGUACCAGGAACCUUGGUUGUAAAGUGGCAUAUAUAAACAUAGUCGCAUCAAAACUUGCUAAAGUGGCCAGGUGCAGUGGCUCAUGCCUGUAAUCCCACACUUUGGGAAGCAGAGACAGGUGGAUCACCCGAGGUCAGGAGUUUGAGAUCAGCCUGGCAAACAGGGUGAAACCCUUUCUCUACUAAUAAUACAAAAAUUAGCCAGACAUGGUGGCUCAUGACUGUAAUCCCAGCUACUUAGGAGGCUGAGGCAGGAGAAUCGCUUGAACCCGGGAGGCAGAGGUUGCAGUGAGCCAGGAUCGCACCAUUGCACUCCAGCCUGGGCAACACGAGCAAAACUCUGUCUCAAAA